AAACAAGAAACUCUAGUGUUAUGGUUUCGGCCCAUAAAAAGGCACAAGUUGUGCCCUUGUUUUC
rnacentral:tRNA from 1 species